CUUUUGCUGGCGACCGGCGCACGAGUGAGUAGCACGUAUCCAACCUGCCCUUUACUCGGGGAUAGCCUUUCGAAAGAAAGAUUAAUACCCGAUAGUAUAAUGAUUCCGCAUGGUUUCAUUAUUAAAGGAUUCCGGUAAAGGAUGGGGAUGCGUUCCAUUAGGUUGUUGGUGAGGUAACGGCUCACCAAGCCUUCGAUGGAUAGGGGUUCUGAGAGGAAGGUCCCCCACAUUGGAACUGAGACACGGUCCAA
rnacentral:rRNA from 1 species